rnacentral:rRNA from 1 species
AUACUGGCUUGUCAAAGCCUGAUCUAAUCAGAUCUCAGAAGCUAAGCAAGGACUGGCCUGGUUAAUACUGGAAUGGGAGACCUCUGGUAAUACUGGGU